CUAGUCUGGCACAGUGAAGAGACAUGGGAGGUGUAGAAUAAGUGGGAGGCCCCCGGCGCCCCUUCCCUGAGUCCCCGCGAGGGGGCGGGGAGGGGGGCACGCCAGCCUUGCAGGCCGCAGGUGAAAUACCACUACUCUAAUUGUUUUUUUUCACUGACCCGAGGGGCUCUCGCUUCUGGCGCCAAGCGAAAAAAAUAAAAUAAAAUAAAACUUUUAGCAGAAAACAUUUAGGCAUCUACUAGAUCUAUAAUUAAGAAAAAAAUCUGGCCCUACUGGUUUGGCUCAGUGGAUAAAGUGUCAGCCUGGG
rnacentral:ncRNA from 1 species